UCCGUAGGUGGAUAAUUAAGUCAGAGGUGAAAGUCUGCAGCUCAACUGUAGAAUUGCCUUUGAUACUGGUUAUCUUGAGUUAUUAUGAAGUAGUUAGAAUAUGUAGUGUAGCGGUGAAAUGCAUAGAUAUUACAUAGAAUACCAAUUGCGAAGGCAGAUUACUAAUAAUAUACUGACACUGAUGGACGAAAGCGUGGGGAGCGAACA
rnacentral:rRNA from 1 species